rnacentral:rRNA from 1 species
UACGGGGGGGGCAAGCGUUGUUCGGAAUUACUGGGCGUAAAGGGCCAGUAGGCGGCCAACUAAGUCGGACGUGAAAUCCCCAGGCUCAACCUGGGAACUGCGUCCGAUACUGGAUGGCUUGAAUUCGGGAGAGGUGAGUGGAACUGCGAGUGUAGAGGUGAAAUUCGUAGAUAUUCGCAAGAACACCAGUGGCGAAGGCGGCUCACUGGCCCGAUACUGACGCUGAGGCACGAAAGCGUGGGGAGCAAACAGG